GUUAGCCAAUAGCCCUCUGACAAGGACCAAUCCACACCAGUAGCGCCCCCUGCAAGAAGUGAAUAUAAGCUACACUUCGGCCAGCCUCAGCUGCUCAGAUUGGCUCCUUAUAUGAACAAUAGUGGGCAGGAUUCGCCGAGCAGUGUUAGUGACGAGUGUCAACUUCCAGGAACAUUACACAUAGCCAAGGACUCUAAAUUAUACUGCAUGUCGCCCCUUGUUUGCGACUACUACUCUCUCAGUUAAGUACUGUCAGUUGCUUUGCAGAAACAAAAGUAAUAAUGUUAUUUGUUUGAAUUGUUGCACAGCAUUCCGAGAAUGCACAAGUGACGAGUGGGCAAGAUCCGACGACUGGUGAUGAGGUGUCACAGAUGGACUCCAUGCUGAUGGCCACAGACAUAUUUUUGCAGAUGCUUAAUGCUCUCUUGUCUUUACUUUGCAGGGGCGCUCGCUUUGCUUUAACAGUUUCUUGUCGUUUUUGGUAAUCAGUGUUUUCAGGUGGGUGUUGCAGAAAUUUUCUUUGAUUUUUUUGUCUGUUUGUUACAUUUGCGUCUUCCAAUAUGGCCACCGCCCUUGUCCCACCAACUUCUCAGGCGCCACAGCUUCAAGCAUUCGAUGCCAAACAGUUAAUUCAGAUGUUUCAGCUCCAGACUCAACAUAUCUGCACCCUGCUCAACGUGGUGCAGCAGCUACUGGCCAAUGCCGUGCACCCGCUGGGACUAGCACUGCCUACUACAGCUGCAACACCACCUUUACGAUAGUUUAAUGAGCAAGACGAGGAAUGGCUCUAGUGGUUGUCUCACUUUGAAGCCCACAUCAUCGCUCACAAUGUGCCAGAUUCACAAGUUCAGAGGACAGUGCAGGCACAGCAGCCACCAGAGGGUGUCACCACGAGACUGCGGGGUGACCCCACGGAGACGGAGCCUUCGCCUCCUCUGCCUCCUCUCGCCCUACCAAUGGAGCUGGAGCCGCCUGCAGAGCAGCAGCUCCCACCUUCUUCAUCUGGUUCAUGGCACGAGGAGGCGGAUGCGUACACUUCUGUUCUUUUCCCGGGGGACGUUUCCGCCAGAGCUCAGGCCAAAUGGCGGGGUGCAGCUGGAAGGUUGAUGUCUCCUGUAGCCACAGCUUCCGGCCCGACAUUACACCACACUCCUGCAUCCCCUGCCAUGGUCGCACUCCAUACACGAUGACGGUCCACGACUUUGAAUGAGGGAGGAAUGUUCUGGCAUAACCACAAGUGCCAGACCGAAGACGAAGAAGGGAAAACCGGAGAAGGCGGUGAGGAAAUGUCGGCCAAUAGCCCACUGACAAGGACCGAGGUGCGCCAGGAGCGGCCCCUGCAAGAAGUGAAUAUAAGCGCUGCUCCUGCCAGCCUCGGCCGCUCAGAUCGGCUCCACAUACGGACAACAGUGGACAGGAUUCGCCGAGCAAUAUUAGUGACAAGUGUCAACUUCCAGGAACAUUACACGUAGCUAAGACUCUAACUUAUAUUGCAUGUCACUCCUCGUUUGUGACUACUACUUGUAAAUCUCAAAGUUAAGUCUUGUUAGUUGCUUUAUAGAAAUAAAACUGCUAAUGUUAUUUGUUUGAA